rnacentral:lncRNA from 1 species
GAUUGGCGAUUUUGAGGCGAUACGCGACCUAGGGUUCUCAGCAUGAUUUCGGCGCCGCCGCCGGUCUCAUCGGGCACAGAUCCACCGUCGGAGGAUCAGAAUGACACGUCGAAAGGGAAUGGGAACGGUGACUCUUCGGGGAAGGUACAUGGAAGUAAGGAACGUGCUCCAAAAGCUACAUCGUGGGUUGAUGUAGCUCAGGAGAAAAAAGCUUUGAGGAGAUACAAUCUCCACAUCACGAAUCUGGAAGGGCAACUCAGUGUAGAGAUUCCAGAU